GCAUUGAUAGCUUAGUGGCAGAGCAGAGCAAUGGGGCGUUGACCCAUGCGUUCCGGGUUCGAGCCCCGGUCGAUGCA